CUGGGCUCGAACGGCUCACGAAAGUUCGUGGAAACACGGAUUUCCCGCAAGGGACGGGAGUCGAGGUGCUGCAUGGCUGUCGUCAGCUCGUGUCGUGAGAUGUUGGGUUAAGUCCCGCAACGAGCGCAACCCUCGUCCUGUGUUGCUAACCGAAAGGUGCACUCUCAGGAGACUGCCGGCGAUAAGCUGGAGGAAGGUGGGGAUGACGUCAAGUCAUCAUGGCCUUUAUGUCCAGGGCUACACACGUGCUACAAUGGGCGGUACAGAGCGCGGCAAACCCGCGAGGGGGAGCAAAUCGCAAAAAACCGCUCUCAGUUCGGAUCGCAGGCUGCAACUCGCCUGCGUGAAGCUGGAAUCGCUAGUAAUGGCGUAUCAGAAUGACGCCGUGAAUACGUUCCC
rnacentral:rRNA from 1 species